rnacentral:rRNA from 1 species
CCUACGGGAGGCAGCAGUGAGGAAUAUUGGUCAAUGGCCGGAAGUCUGAACCAGCCAAGCCGCGUGAAGGACGAAGGUGCCAAGCAUUGUAAACUUCUUUUGUCAAGGGACAAAAUCAGGCUCGCGAGCCUUACCGAGGGUACUUGACGAAAAGGCAUCGGCUAACUCCGUGCCAGCAGCCGCGGUAAUACGUAGGUGGCGAGCGUUAUCCGGAAUGAUUGGGCGUAAAGGGUGCGUAGGCGGCCUGCUAAGUCUGGAGUGAAAGGUACCGGCUCAACCGGUACAGGCUCUGGAAACUGGCGGGAUAGAGAGCAGGAGAGGGCGGUGGAACUCCAUGUGUAGCGGUAAAAUGCGUAGAUAUAUGGAAGAACAUCAGUGGCGAAGGCGGCCGCCUGGCCUGCUAACUGACGCUGAGGCACGAAAGCGUGGGGAGCAAAUAGGAUUAGAUACCCCAGUAGUC